CUAUGUGAAAUGUUGCCCUGUGAAGGUAGGGGUGGAUCACAUUCACAAGUUCUCUUGAAAAUCAGAUUUUGUAUCAAAAUAACAUUUCUAUCUGGAGCAGGAAUGGCCUCUCUGAGCACUCUCAGCUGGGUUCCAUGAAAAGGUUAAGUAUUAUCUAAGGUGAGUGUGACAGGAUAUACUCCCUCUUUGAUACCUAGGAUAAGGUUCUGGACUUGGACACUGUGAUGGGCUAUAAUGGUUAAGAAGCAGGAAACACAAGAAGCUGCAGCCAAUUAGCUUCACAGAAAACCAGCCAGCUGCAUAUAAAAGGAGGAGGAUAUCGGGGCUGGCUAUUAAGAGUGACCGGAGAGCCAGAAAGCUUCAGUGAGAAGUACCAGUUUCUUGCAGAAGGGAUCCUUCACAGCAAAUGGAGUCAGUUCUAGUGGAUUGAAUGCAGGAUCAAGAUCUCACCCUGAAUUUUUGGGUGCGAGUGGAGGAGCUAAUGCUACAUUCUGCUUCAGCUGCACCAGCUGGUUGGCUCAGUCCUAGCAUUUUCACAUCUGUCCAGAUGGUAUGAAGGAGGUACGGAUAACCACAUAACAUGUGGAAAUUAUUUAUGAGAACUUCCAUUAAAUGAAUUUCAUAAAACAUUCCUAAGAUGCCUUUAAGGGUUUUAUUAAAACUGUCUGCAUG